UACGUAGGUGGCGAGCGUUGUCCGGAAUUACUGGGUGUAAAGGGAGCGUAGGCGGGAUAUUAAGUUGAAUGUAUAAACUAUCGGCUCAACUGGUAGAAGCGUUCAAAACUGAUAUUCUUGAGUGAAGUAGAGGCAGGCGGAAUUCCUAGUGUAGCGGUGAAAUGCGUAGAUAUUAGGAGGAACACCAGUGGCGAAGGCGGCCUGCUGGGCUUUAACUGACGCUGAGGCUCGAAAGCGUGGGUAGCAAA
rnacentral:rRNA from 1 species